AUUGAACGCUGGCGGAAUGCUUUACACAUGCAAGUCGAACGGUAGAGGGGGCAACCCCUCGAGAGUGGCGAACGGGUGAGUAAUAUAUCGGAACGUGCCCAGUCGUGGGGGAUAACGUAGCGAAAGUUACGCUAAUACCGCAUACGAUCUAAGGAUGAAAGCGGGGGAUCGCAAGACCUCGCGCGAUUGGAGCGGCCGAUAUCAGAUUAGGUAGUUGGUGGGGUAGAGGCUCACCAAGCCAACGAUCUGUAGCUGGUCUGAGAGGACGACCAGCCACACUGGAACUGAGACACGGUCCAGACUCCUACGGGAGGCAGCAGUGGGGAAUUUUGGACAAUGGACGCAAGUCUGAUCCGGCCAUUCCGCGUGCAGGAUGAAGGCCCUCGGGUUGUAAACUGCUUUUGUACGGAACGAAAAGGUCUCUCUUAAUACGGGGGACUCAUGACGGUACCGUAAGAAUAAGCACCGGCUAACUACGUGCCAGCCGCCGCGGUAA
rnacentral:rRNA from 1 species